rnacentral:rRNA from 1 species
CCUACGGGAGGCAGCAGUGAGGAAUAUUGGUCAAUGGACGAGAGUCUGAACCAGCCAAGUAGCGUGAAGGAUGACUGCCCUAUGGGUUGUAAACUUCUUUUAUAUGGGAAUAAAACGUUCCACGUGUGGGAUUUUGUAUGUACCAUAUGAAUAAGGAUCGGCUAACUCCGUGCCAGCAGCCGCGGUAAUACGGAGGAUCCGAGCGUUAUCCGGAUUUAUUGGGUUUAAAGGGAGCGUAGGUGGAUUGUUAAGUCAGUUGUGAAAGUUUGCGGCUCAACCGUAAGAUUGCAGUUGAAACUGGCAGUCUUGAGUACAGUAGAGGUGGGCGGAAUUCGUGGUGUAGCGGUGAAAUGCUUAGAUAUAACGAAGAACUCUGAUUGCGAAGGCAGUUCACUGGACUGAAACUGACACUGAGGCUCGAAAGUGUGGGUAUCAAACAGGAUUAGAUACCCGAGUAGUC